GACGAACGCUGGCGGCGCGCCUAACACAUGCAAGUCGAACGAGCGAGAGAGAGCUUGCUUUCUCGAGCGAGUGGCGAACGGGUGAGUAACGCGUGAGGAACCUGCCUCAAAGAGGGGGACAACAGUUGGAAACGACUGCUAAUACCGCAUAAGCCCACGGUGCCGCAUGGCAUAGAGGGAAAAGGAGCAAUCCGCUUUGAGAUGGCCUCGCGUCCGAUUAGCUAGUUGGUGAGGUAAUGGCCCACCAAGGCGACGAUCGGUAGCCGGACUGAGAGGUUGAACGGCCACAUUGGGACUGAGACACGGCCCAGACUCCUACGGGAGGCAGCAGUGGGGAAUAUUGCACAAUGGGGGAAACCCUGAUGCAGCGACGCCGCGUGGAGGAAGAAGGUCUUCGGAUUGUAAACUCCUGUUGUUGGGGAAGAUAAUGACGGUACCCAACAAGGAAGUGACGGCUAACUACGUG
rnacentral:rRNA from 1 species